CUCCAACCUCUUAACAGCUAGCCCCCCAUCUAAACUCAACAAACAACAUUAAUUAAACCCACACUCCGAACCCCCUAAACAACCAAACCAUUUUCCCACCUUAGUAUAGGCGAUAGAAAAGGACACCCGGCGCAAUAGAAAAAGUACCGCAAGGGAAAGCUGAAAGAGAAAUGAAACAACCCAGUAAAGAGAAAAGAAGCAGAGGCAAGCACUCGUACCUUUUGCAUCAUGCCUUAGCCAGUAACCUUCGAGCAAAGUGACCUUUAGUUCGAGCCCCCGAAACUGAGCGAGCUACUCCAAGACAGCCUAUCACAGGGCAAACCCGUCUCUGUUGCAAAAGAGUGGGAAGAUCUUUGAGUAGAGGUGACAGACCUACCGAGCUCAGUUAUAGCUGGUUGCCUACAAAAUGAAUAGAAGUUCAGCCUUUAAACCUUUUCCUCUCCCCCCGGUUAUUACCCAAAGUGACACAGAGAAGAUUAAAGCGUUAUUCAACGGGGGGACAGCCCCAUUGAAAAAAGACACAACUUUAUGAGAUGGCUAAAGAUUAAAAGCCUAAAGGCACAAUACCUUAGUGGGCCUAAAAGCAGCCAACCACAUAGAAAGCGUUAAAGCUCAAGUACUCGCCUUUCCAUAAUCCCUACAAUACUAUCUUAAGCCCCUCACCUUAAAUACUAGGCCUUUCCAUGCAAGCAUGGAAGAGACACUGCUAAUAUGAGUAAUAAGAGGGACCGCCCCUCUCCAAGACACCUGCAUACAUCAGAACGAACCCCCACUGAAAAUUAACGCCCCCAACUAACGAGGGCCCUGAGACAGCCCAAAAUUAAGCUAGAAAACCACUCAGGAACUAAACGUUAACCCUACACAGGUGUGUCACAACGGAAAGACUUAAAGGAAAAGAAGGAACUCGGCAAACAUUGGCCUCGCCUGUUUACCAAAAACAUCGCCUCUUGCACCCCCCCCCCCCCCCCCCCCCCCGUAUAAGAGGUCCCGCCUGCCCUGUGACUAACAAGUUUAACGGCCGCGGUAUUUUGACCGUGCGAAGGUAGCGUAAUCACUUGUCUUUUAAAUGAAGACCUGUAUGAAUGGCAUAACGAGGGCUAAGCUGUCUCCUUUUCCUGGUCAAUGAAAUUGAUCUUCCCGUGCAGAAGCGGGGAUAAAAACAUAAGACGAGAAGACCCUAUGGAGCUUAAGACAAAAGGCAGCUCACGUAAAAACACCCAGCUUAAUGGAAAUAACUAACUGAUCCCUGCCCCUAUGUCUUUGGUUGGGGCGACCGCGGGGGAACAAAAAUCCCCCACGUGGAACAGGAGCUCACUCCUCAAAACCAGAGCCGCAGCUCUAAUUAACAGAACAUCUGACCUACAAGAUCCGGCAAAGCCGAUCAACGGACCCAGUUACCCUAGGGAUAACAGCGCAAUCCCCUUUUAGAGCCCAUAUCGACAAGGGGGUUUACGACCUCGAUGUUGGAUCAGGACAUCCUAAUGGUGCAGCCGCUAUUAAGGGUUCGUUUGUUCAACGAUUAAAGUCCUACGUGAUCUGAGUUCAGACCGGAGAAAUCCAGGUCAGUUUCUAUCUAUGAACGCUCUUUCCUAGUACGAAAGGACCGGAAAGAAGAGGCCCAUGCUCCAAGCAAGCCUCCCCCUUACCUGCUGAAGCCAGCUAAAACAGGUAAAAGGGCGCAUAACCCUGCCUAAGAGCAAGGCAU
rnacentral:rRNA from 1 species